GACGAACGCUGGCGGCGUGCUUAACACAUGCAAGUCGAACGGAAAGGCCCUGCUUUUGUGGGGUGCUCGAGUGGCGAACGGGUGAGUAACACGUGAGUAACCUGCCCUUGACUUUGGGAUAACUUCAGGAAACUGGGGCUUAUACCGGAUAGGAGCUCCUGCUGCAUGGUGGGGGUUGGAAAGUUUCGGCGGUUGGGGGUGGACUCGCGGCCUAUCAGCUUGUUGGUGGGGUAGGGGCUUACCAAGGCUUUGACGGGUAGCCGGCCUGAGAGGGUGACCGGCCACAUUGGGACUGAGAUACGGCCCGGACUCCUACGGGAGGCAGCAGUGGGGAAUAUUGCACAAUGGGCGGAAGCCUGAUGCAGCAACGCCGCGUGCGGGAUGACGGCCUUCGGGUUGUAAACCGCUUUCGCCUGUGACGAAGCGUGAGUGACGGUAAUGGGUAAAGAAGCACCGGCUAACUACGUG
rnacentral:rRNA from 1 species